rnacentral:rRNA from 1 species
CGUGGGUAACCUGCCCAUCAGAGGGGGAUAACAUCCGGAAACGGAUGCUAAAACCGCAUAGGUCUUCGAACCGCAUGGUUUGAAGAGGAAAAGAGGCGCAGGCUUCUGCUGAUGGAUGGACCCGCGGUGCAUUAGCUAGUUGGUGAGGUAACGGCUCACCAAGGCCGUGAUGCAUAGCCGACCUGAGAGGGUGAUCGGCCACAUUGGGACUGAGACACGGCCCAA